AAGAAUGGCCCACAGAAGUUUUUUGAAAUUGAAAAGACUUUAGUAAAAUCAUCGUGAAAAAAUAUAGAAUGUAUUGCAGGAGAAAUGGCACUGAAACGACGUCUUCUGGAUGCAUAUGAGGAAUUAAGGAUGUUCAGAGAGAAAAAUCAAAAAAUAAACGAGAAACUUUUCGAUCGUUUCGACCAAGUAAUGGAUUUUGCAUAACCAAAAGGCAAGGAUUUUGACGAUGAAAUUGUGACUGCUAAAAUGAUUAGAGGUCACCGAUGAUAAAACAGAAAUUGAAAGCGCAGAAUCCAUGAUUAUCGAUGAUGAUGAAGCCGGAAUCUUUGAACGUGUAAGUGAACUUAGAAAUUCACGUUUGAUGCAUUUUCAUUCAUAAAUUUUAAUUAGUGAACGCCCACAUUUAGAUGCAAAUAAUAAUAAUUAUCAAUAUUAAAACUCAAUAAAUAUGUAAUACUGCACAAUAUUAGUACUCAAUAAAUAGGUUACACU